CAUGCACACUGUUAAAGCUCAGAGCUUCAGCUGUAUAUUAUGGCUUGGUGAACUCUUGAGUGUCGGAAGUGUGCUACAUUAAUACAGAAGCAGGAUUUUCGCUAACACCGUCAGAGCCUGUGCUCGAUGAUCGGAGUUUGAUAGUGAUCUUUGCUACAGUU